rnacentral:lncRNA from 1 species
GAACUCAUUCAGAUACAAUGGCCUAAUACACAAGAAAACUGUUGGUGUAGAACCAGCUGCUGAUGGAAUGAGAGUAAUUGUCAUUCUGAAAAGGCGUGCAGGUCAACGCAAACCUGCUAUGUCCUAUGAAAACAUAACCAUCAACAAGAACUCCCGUGCUACUUUAAGCAGCUUUCGCCACAUUAUCUGCAAGAAUAACUACAGGAAGGACCUCCGCAUGGCUGCUCCCAGACGUGCAAGUGCUAUUCUAAAAAGUCAGAAACCUGUUGUGGUGAAAAAGAAGCGCACCCGGACUGCCAAGACUGCAUAACUUGUUCUGCGGAAUGC